ensembl:lncRNA
GGGUCAGGCCAGAGCAGGAAAAACUGACAAGUGUCUUCCCAUUAAGUAAUAUCACUUCUGUCUCAUUUCUCAGACUAACUCAGAAACGGGUCCUGGGAGGCAAGAGAACAGAGGAAGCAGAGCAGGACCUGGACAGAACAGAAAGGCCUGUGACCAGUGGCUUCAUGGAGCAUGGUUGGAGAGACUGCACAGCAGGGUCUCUGAGCUGAGCCAGGCUCUGCCUACACUCGGUUUCCCGUGGGAGAAGAUGAAUCUGCAGCAUCAGCCCCUGCCCGUCUCCCACAACCAGGGUGGCUAAGCCCUCAGAGCUCUGCGGGACAAUCCUUCUCUGCUGCUGCUGCUGCUGGAGCCUUCUCAGGGUGUCCUCUGUUGGCAGGCAGUCUUCGCACACAGUCAGAAAACGCAGAAGACUGGAGCGCAGGCGGCAGGGGUUCUUGCACUGUUGGCUGUUGAGUCCUUGCCACCCCCGGCUGUGUGACCCUUGGAGAGAGCUGUGCCUUGGGACCAGGGUGAGGCCUCGCUUGCAGGGUGGUGCUGGUGGGUUGGCGCCUGCAUGGCUGAAGAGGGGGUGCUUCCUGAAAUUCCGUUUCAUGCCAGGACUGGCUCUGCUCGGUUGGCUCACCUGUGGAUAG